rnacentral:sRNA from 1 species
GGAUGUAAAGGCGAUUUGGGCUGCGACAUCUGUCACCCCAUUGAUCGCCUGGGUUGAUUCGGCUGAUCUGGCUGGCUAGGCAGGUGUCCCCUUCCUCCCUCACCGAUCCAUGUGCGUCCCUCCCAAAGCUGCAUGCUCGGUCGAAGAGGAUGGCCUUCCCCGAAUAUUAGUUCAUUAUUUAUAAUAAAUGUACUGGUCUUAUAAGAUGUCCGUAUUAAGGGAAAUCCAGGUCAGAAGAGACAGUAUAUUAAGACUCUAAGCUAACUAUUCCUGUAAGUCUUUUGAUAGAGACUGUUAAUA